rnacentral:lncRNA from 1 species
AGACAUUUUCCUGGCAUGGAGGCCCUUUGGUGGGGAGGUCAGUUUAACCCGGUGACAGCAGCUUUUCCGUCCUCUCCCACCCAGGCUCCAGGAGGCCAGAGCUCUACUGAAGCGGCGGCGGCCCCGGGGGCCAGGGGGCCGGGGACUACUGAGAAGGAGGCCCCCACAGCGUGCCCCCGCUGGCAAGGCCCCGGUCCUGUGUCCCUUGAUCUGUCACAAUGGCGGUGUGUGCGUGAAGCCUGACCGCUGCCUCUGUCCCCCGGACUUCGCUGGCAAGUUCUGCCAGUUGCACUCCUCGGGCG